rnacentral:rRNA from 1 species
AUUGAACGCUGGCGGCAGGCCUAACACAUGCAAGUCGAGCGAGCGGCGGACGGGUGAGUAAUGUCUGGGAAACUGCCUGAUGGAGGGGGAUAACUACUGGAAACGGUAGCUAAUACCGCAUACCAUCAGAUGUGCCCAUAUGGGAUUAGCUAGUAGGUGGGGUAACGGCUCACCUAGGCGACGAUCCCUAGCUGGUCUGAGAGGAUGACCAGCCACACGGGAACUGAGACACUGGCCAGACUCCUACGGUAGGCAGCAGUGGGGAAUAUUGCACAAUGGGCGCAAGGCUGAUGCACCCAUGCCGCGGGUGUGAAGAAGGCCUUCGGGUUGUAAAGCACUUUCAGCGGGGAGGCGUUACCCGCAGAAGAAGCACCGGCGAACUCCGUGCCAGCCGCCGCGGUAUAC